rnacentral:tRNA from 1 species
GCCAGCGUAGCUCAGUCGGUAGAGCAGGCGUUUCGUAAACGUCAGGUCACGGGUUCGAGUCCCGUCGCUGGCU